GAUCCCCAAACCGGUAAACCCUAGCCAAAUCCUCUCCAUCCUCUCUGCGGCCGCCACCAUCCCCUCCCGACCUCCUACUCCGGCGCAGGCGCACAGCAUCGCAGCUUCGGGAUGACCACGACUCGGCUCGACGAAGCCACGAUUGCCCCCCAUCUGUCCAUCUCUUCGAUUUGAUAAUUCCUCAUCUGCUUCGAAGUUGAUUCGAGUGACGACCAACGACGGUGCAGGUGCGCGGGGCGGUGAGAGGCGGCAGCACCAAGCAGGAAGGCGGAAGGGCCGCCAGCCACCGGACGCAGCUGGAGGGCGGCGCAUCCGCGCCAGAGCGAGGGGUGCGCGGCGCCGGCGCUGCAGGCAGUGGGCCAGCAAGCGAAAGCGGUCAUGCAGCGCCGGCUCUGCAGGCGGCGGCGGCGGCCAGGGAACGGGAGGCCAUCGAAGGCGAGAAGGAUCGCGGUAUAAACUGCAGCGUCUGCUACUGCAGCAGUCGGCACACAUAUCAUUUUUUGGGACAGCGGCACUGCUCCAUCUUGCAGAGAGCAGUGAUGCUAAUUUACAUAUACCCAAGAGAAGCGACAAAACUGCUGUUGUUGCAACAGUUGGAUUCCUUGAAUAAAGAGGUAGAUGAAUUGUAAGCAUCAAGGGAGCAGCAGUCGAAGAAAAUUGAAAGUUUGAAGAACUCAUCAGAAGAGACCAAUUCCCUUCUUCGUCGUUUGAUUGGCCAUUUGGCCUGAAUACUCCAUAUUUUGCUCUGCCUUAGUAAGGUUUGACUAUCUCUUCAUGUUGCCUUGCUUAUUCAUGAUGUGAUAUAUGAAAUUAUGUCUUUCUUUAUCCUAACUUACGAACGAGUGUGACAAUACUUGUUGUUAUGUAAAUUGUUUCAUCUAGACUUUUGGGAUGCUAGCAAAAUAUUUUAUGUAGUCCAAGCCGUGUUACCGUGUAUAAGUGAUGCAUUGCAUCUUUUUUUUUCUCACUGCAUAAGAUUGUAGUACCAUGCUAUUUAUCACCAAAUAAUUGAAGUAUUGUCUAUCAGGCGAUAUUUGUACAGCAUGUUGUUGGCUGAAUGUUUUUGGAAAUCAUGGCACUUAUAUAAAAUCUUACAUGCUAUUGGCUACUAUAAUAAUCAUGAUUAGUUAGAUAAGGUGGAUAGCUAAGUUACUUGCUUAUGUAUCAUAGCUAAGUUGUUUCCAGAUAUUGCAUCUGCCCUAAUAUCAUAGGGUAAUUUGUUGGUACAAAAACUAUGACCACCUAGUUAUCAUAGUUGACUUGAAAAAUCAAAAUCUGAAAAAUCAUAACUUGAUAAAAAUGUGCCAGUUCCUUUUUACUGUUAUUUGAUAAAUUAGAAUAUUGCUCAUGAUCUACUUUGUGCAUAAGUUCCUUUGAUUUGUUUUACUAGUGUGAGGUGUACCUAAAUUCUGUUCUAUGCAUAAUAGCUAUUUUUUUUAGAUUGAGUUUGGAAGUCUCAUGUUUGAGCCACCGAAAGUAGACAUGCAUUUUUCAGGAGUUGGUAAUACGUAUGUACCUAGCUAGACUCACUACAUUCUAUCUAGCCUACUGCUUUUUAACUAUAUAAACCCUUGUUGUGGUUCUGAGACAUGGUGGGUAUGCACCUAGCAGUCUAGCACCCAUAUUUCAUUCACAUUGGAUGGCAUUAUGGGCAGGAAAACUUUACAGCGAUGGUAUGUUGUAUCUAGCACUUCAAUUAUGCAUAUGAAAAAACUUUCAGAGAGCGAUGUCAUAUUGAAUUUACAAAUUGUUUGCAUGCAGUUUCAGAAGCAAAACUAAGUAUGAAGAUGUGCUGCCUGCUGCAAUUGAUCUUUUCAAGGAGCGCCACUGCAGUAGCAAGACUGAUUUUUACUGAUGCAUCAAAGUUGUUUAUUUUGCUAUGGUCCGUGUCAUGUACAUGAGCUUGUUGUGGUCACUUAGUAGUCGGUGAAUCUGAUUCUAUGUAUGUUACUGGGUUUGUGUUUUUUUAUUGAGAGAAUCCCUUAUAUGCCACUCCAAAUUAACCGGUUUCCUUUAUGCCACUCCAAAUUGGCUCCUCCCUUCUAUGCCACCGGUUCAA